AUGGCCUCCAUUUCCUCCAGGGACGAGGAGGUGUCUGCAGCGCAUGGGAAGAGACCGGAUUCUCGCACACUGCGACGGAGGAUGCUUGGCCUGAUACGCUGCUACUACCUCGAGGCCAUCUCCCGUCUGCCCACCGAAGAUCUCUGGACCACCCUCUCGCGUGGCCUCCUCAUCGCCGGUCACUGCUACGGCCCUCUACACCCUGUCCACAACAUCAUCGUCAAUUCCGUCUGGUACUCUGCUGUGACCGGAUCGAUACCGCCUUCAUCAGCAACUUGUUCGCUUGAUGGAUUGGUUGCUUCACUUCACCAUCUCUGUCCUGGCCUCUCCGAUGAUGAUGCCCUUUGGCACCUCAGUCUCUCCCGCGCCGACCUCCGUGCCGCUGUUGCCUCCGCACGCGGUGCUGCCCUGUCGUCGUUCCGUCUGACGGCAUCGGAGCUGGAAGCCGCCUUUCAAGCGGCUGACAAGGCAGCGCGGCAUCUGAAACCUGCGGCCCUUGCGCUCUUCACUUCUUCCGUUGUGCUUUCUGUGGAACGUGAUGCUGUCUCGCUGCUCAACAGCAAACACAGGCUUUCCUCAGCUGACAUUCUGCGCCUCUCCACCAUGUUGCUGCCUUCCCCACUACCAGAUGAGCUGCCACACCCUCCUCUUGAAGAGCGGUUCACGGCGGCCUUUAAACUCAUCACUAGAAGGAGGAACCUUCUCAUAAGAUGGUACAAACGAUGGGUGGAAUUAGCGGAUGCAGCGUUGCGCAAGUAUGCUCAGCAAACUGCGGCACAUUAUCAGCUUCAUGUCAUCUAUGGCAUUGGUUCCGUGCACAAUGAGUUCAAUAUGGAUGAUUCUUUCCAUACUAGUUUUAUGGCGUGGCCGAAGGAUCCUUCCUGUGCUAGAGAAGCUCCUGUGUUUUUCUUUGCUGAAGCACUUCCGUCUGGCUCCGACUUUUGUGAAGAGGACAUCACCUUGUGCUGUACAGUACAGCCAUCACCAAGUGAAGUUGAUUCCUUCAGUGAAUCAUCCGGAAACUUCCAAAUUGACCACCCGGAUGAAUCUGAGAACUUCUCUGGUGACCUGGAUUGCCCCAUCAAAAGUAAUGCUGACUUCAGGUGUUUUGAUCCUGUCAGAGACAUUGGUUUGGUGGAGUACCUGGAUCAAGAGUUAACCAGUUACAUAUCCUCUCGGCCCUCCAGACGCAUUCGUCGUUUUUACAGACAAAACAUCGAUCAAGCUAUCUAG
rnacentral:rRNA from 1 species